UUUGGGCUAGGGGGUCAUCCCGACUUACCAAACCCAUGCAAACUCCGAAUACCGAGAAGUGCAAUUACGGGAGACACACGGCGGGUGAUAACGUCCGUCGUGGAAAGGGAAACAACCCAGACCAUCAGCUAAGGUCCCAAAAUUAUGGCUCAGUGGAAAACGAUGUGGGAAGGCCCAGACAGCUAGGAGGUUGGCUUAGAAGCAGCCAUCCUUUAAAGAAAGCGUAAUAGCUCACUAGUCGAGUCGGCCUGCGCGGAAGAUGUAACGGGGCUCAAACCAUGCACCGAAGCUACGGGUAUCACCUUUAGGUGAUGCGGUAGAGGAGCGUUCUGUAAGCCUGUGAAGGUGAGUUGAGAAGCUUGCUGGAGGUAUCAGAAGUGCGAAUGCUGACAUGAGUAGCGUUAAAGCGGGUGAAAAGCCCGCUCGCCGGAAGACCAAGGGUUCCUGUCCAACGUUAAUCGGGGCAGGGUGAGUCGACCCCUAAGGCGAGGCCGAGAGGCGUAGUCGAUGGGAAAUUGGUUAAUAUUCCAAUACUUCUAUGUAAUGCGAUGAGAGGACGGAGAAGGUUAAGUCAGCCUGGCGUUGGUUGUCCAGGUGGAAGGUUGUAGGCAUGUAUCUUAGGCAAAUCCGGGGUACUCUAUGCUGAGAACUGAUAGCAAGCUGUACUUGUACAGUGAAGUGGCUGAUACCAUGCUUCCAGGAAAAGUCUCUAAGCUUCAGUUACAUAGGAAUCGUACCCGAAACCGACACAGGUGGUCAGGUAGAGAAUACUAAGGCGCUUGAGAGAACUCGGGUGAAGGAACUCGGCAAAAU
rnacentral:rRNA from 1 species